ensembl:snoRNA
AGUGAUGAUGAACCCCGGUGACUCUGAGUGCCUCACUGACGCCAUCACCGCAGCAAGCUGACU